UUAUUCAUUUCCAUUUUUAAAGAUCCACAGGGAGCCACUGGAGAGGAGCUAAAGAGCUGCAUGUGGCUCCGGAGCUGCAGGUUGCUGACCCCUGGUUUAGGCCAAGGAAAUAGAGAUAGUCUUGCCGGUUGAAGAGGAUGUAGAGGUGGCUGAAGAUGAUGAGCGGCGGCGGCAGGAUGGGACGGUCGUGAAACGUCAAGAUCAGCUGAUAUCUCUGGAACUUCCACACCUGGUUGGAAAUGGACUUCACUUCUAAGAAAGUGUUGCUGUGGGACAGGAAACAAAGACCAGUGAGUGCUUGAUAGGAUGCAUCAUCUCCAAGACGGAAAUCCAACAGUAGAAUCAGAGGAGGAAAGAAGAUCCCCAGAAUAACCUAUAGUGUGUCAGGCCCACCGUGUUGUACAACUCCUCCAGUCUGGGAAUGGUGAGGAAGUGGUGAAUGUUGACCCCGUUCUCGAGGAGCAGUUUGACAAAGUCCACUCUGUCCAGCACCAAAGCGUCCAUCAUAGCCUGCUCCAGAGAGUUCACCUAAGAGAGAAAGGUCUGUUUCCUCUGGUGGUUCAGGCUUUGCCUUUCCCUUCCCCUUUCCCUUCUUCCCCCGGGCUUUGUUUCGAGGAGCACUGGCGGGACUCUUCUGUUUCUCCUGGGCCGGGACUACAGCAGUCGUAGCGGUGGCCAUGGCACCGGCAGGCUUAACAAGCAGGAAAUAAGUGUGGAAGAUCUCGGCUCGUGUGAGAAGACAGAGCAGACCCGGCUAACCUAAAAAGCCCACUGCGGUCUCAUUCAGAGGCUCCCCAACAUUUCAUUUGAAAAAAUGUUUCACCCCCUCCAACUACUUUGAUUUCAACCCAAUUUGCAUAAUUGAGAGAAUUGGAUGCAGGCAUUCCUUUGGAAGGCGCCUUGUUAAGACAUGACUGCUCUCCAGUUGGGGGCAAGGUCAGUCAAUGCUAAUUGCAGUUAAUCUUUAUUCCCAUCCACCAUGUUUUGUGGAGGAAAAAGAAAACUCAGCAGAGCAGCUAUUCAAUAUUCUCUUUUGCUCAUGUUAAGUGGAUUUGCAUUUUAAAAAGAUUUUGUAUAAUAAAUACUAUCCUCCCAGCAGACUGAAAAGGGAUAUUACUGUUUUGAAAAAUCACAUUUAGCCCACUGGCUGCUAUCCAACAGUGUAAACUGUGGGCUAAAACAGAUCAUUGGAUAUCAAUAGGCUUCUGUUUGGGUAAGGGAAAGUCAUGAUUUCUUUAGAUUCGUUUAAAAUGAAUCCUGUUUAUUGUACAUGCUGGACUUAAUGGAGUAAUUCAAUUAAAACCAUUUAAAGUUAUCAAGGAGCAUGCUUAAAUAUGAAGAGGAGGGCAUUAGGUGAGCUAGGAGCUGAGAUGGAGUUAACAAGCACAAAGUUGUAGACAUCCAUUUAAUACCUCCCUCAUGUGAAAUGGUUUAAUAAGCUCUCCUUUUAUGGUUGAAGUGAGCAGUUUGAGUUUGACUCUAAGUCAGAGUGAUAAAGACAAAGAGAGGUUGGUGGUUGAUGACUCAGAAAGACAGACUGAAAGAGAGAGAGAGGCCUAACAUGUCCCCCAACUUGCCCCUUUUGGUCCUGCUCCGGUUAAAAAACACACGUGGGUCGCUGUUAAUUAUAGCCGGGGAAAACAAAAGCGCAUUUCCAGAAGGGUUUGGUGAGCAUGUCGCAGCUCUUUCAGCUUACUUAAACUCAUUAACCACAGCAAUUAAAACCUAAAAUCCAGUCAGCGACCAGCUGCCUCGUUAAGAGCUGCCUCUGAGCACUUAACAACAAAAACCUUAAAGAAUUAGAUACCGCAGGAUCGGAUUGGGUCACAGCGAGCAAAUUAACGAGACUUAAGACAAGCCUCGGAACAAUAAACAACAUUGAGUCCAAAGUGCAGAAUUUUCUGAGGAAAUGGUCGUUCGAAACAAAAGACAAUUGUGUGAAAUGGAAAAAAGUGCUGGAUUGCUGAGGAGGUCACAGAAAAGGUAGAUGUAUGACCUCUUUUUUUGUAUUAGCUGUACUGAUGCAGUGAUGCGUUUCCUCCCAAUUACCACUGGUUUUAUAUGCAUAUGUUAAUAAGAAUAUGUACUUCUACCAGUUUCACAAUGCAGUAGACACAGUAUUUGUUGCCAGUUGAGAUGUAUGCCAUACAUUCAUGACCUUUUUGCACUAGCAUCACAUGGUCCUGGUCUCCUGACCCACAGCUUAGCGAGCAACAAGAUCACAGCAAAUUUGUUCCAGUGCUGCUACAAUUACACGGACCGUUCAGCUCCCAGCAGUCAUAAGGAAAAAGGUAUAAUGACAGCUGUAUUUCUGUGCGUUGACCAUCUGACCUGGUCAAUUUCAGUGCAUUUUGAACACAUAAUUGUGUGGCUUUAAAAACUAUAUGUUUGAUUUAUUCUGAAUAUUGAAGCAAUGAAGGACUUCACGCAACGAAAAGCCUCAUCAGCACAAGUGAAAUGGAUCAGAAAGGAUUUGGGGGUCCUAAAGGAAUGUCACCAGGGUUGAAGAUAAAAGCAACUAAUUGCUCGGCUUUGGUAUUGAAUGGCGAUGUGGUUGGAGCUUGAUGCAGUGUGACAGGAAGGAAG